UCCGGCGGAGACGCAGCACAAAAAUGGUUUUACUUGCGAUACCCUUCGUCUCCCUCACGUCCCAUCCAUCCCUCCCCCCCCUUUUCCCUCCUCCUCCACCUCCACUGCCAUGGCCGCCUCCGCCGCUCCUCUCUCCCGCGUGGUAGCCGCCGCCGGUUGCCGCCGCUAGGGGAGCGCGACGGGGGAACGGUAGGGGCGACCCAGCUCGCUCUGUCGCCCCGCGGCUGGUGGGGGUGCGCGCGGGGGAGAGCGGUUGGUUAGUAUGGUGCUGGAUCUCAAUGUGGAGUCGCCGGGUGGGUCGGCGGCGACGUCGAGCUCGUCCACGCCGCCGCCGCCGCCCGACGGUGGCGGCGGGGGGUACUUCCGGUUCGACCUGCUCGGCGGGAGCCCCGACGAGGACGGGUGCUCCUCGCCUGUCAUGACGCGCCAGCUCUUCCCUUCGCCGUCUGCGGUGGUGGCGCUGGCGGGGGACGGGUCGUCGACGCCACCGCUGACGAUGCCGAUGCCGGCGGCGGCUGGGGAGGGGCCGUGGCCGCGCCGCGCGGCGGAUCUCGGGGUGGCGCAGAGCCAGAGGUCCCCCGCCGGCGGGAAGAAGAGCCGCCGCGGCCCGAGGUCUCGGAGCUCCCAGUACAGGGGCGUCACCUUCUACAGGAGGACCGGGCGAUGGGAGUCGCACAUCUGGGACUGCGGGAAGCAGGUGUACCUGGGUGGUUUCGAUACAGCUCAUGCCGCAGCGAGGGCCUAUGAUCGCGCGGCGAUCAAGUUCAGAGGCCUCGACGCGGAUAUCAACUUUAAUCUGAAUGACUAUGAGGACGACUUGAAGCAGAUGCGCAAUUGGACCAAGGAGGAGUUUGUGCACAUACUUCGGCGCCAAAGCACAGGAUUUGCAAGGGGGAGCUCAAAGUACCGGGGUGUGACACUGCACAAGUGUGGCCGGUGGGAAGCUCGGAUGGGCCAGCUGCUCGGCAAGAAGUACAUCUAUCUAGGAUUGUUUGACAGUGAAAUUGAGGCUGCAAGAGCAUAUGACCGGGCAGCUAUCCGCUUCAAUGGAAGGGAAGCUGUUACUAAUUUUGAUCCUAGUUCUUAUGAUGGAGAUGUUCUACCUGAAACCGACAAUGAAGUGGUUGAUGGAGACAUCAUUGACUUAAAUCUGAGAAUUUCACAGCCUAACGUUCAUGAGCUGAAAAGUGAUGGUACCCUAACUGGGUUCCAGUUGAAUUGUGAUUCUCCUGAAGCUUCAAGUUCUGUUGUUACUCAGCCAAUAAGUCCUCAGUGGCCUGUGCUUCCUCAGGGCACAUCGAUGUCCCAGCAUCCACAUUUAUAUGCAUCUCCUUGUCCGGGCUUCUUUGUGAACCUCAGGGAAGUACCUAUGGAGAAAAGACCUGAGUUGGGUCCCCAGUCGUUCCCUACUUCGUGGUCAUGGCAAAUGCAGGGCUCCCCUUUGCCAUUACUCCCUACUGCAGCAUCAUCAGGAUUCUCUACGGGCACCGUCGCCGACGCCGCCCGCUCGCCUUCCUCCCGCCCCCAUCCAUUUCCCGGCCACCACCAGUUCUACUUCCCCCCGACCGCCUGACUGCCACCUAUUCUGGUGGAGGCGACACCUCACCGUGCAUCCACCGCCGCUUGCUGAUAACAUUCGUCGUUUGUCCAGAGAGGGACCUUCUCCAUAUGAUAUCCCUCUCUAUGUUCCACCUGGUUAUGAUCAGAAUUCUCACGCUCAUGAUUCUUUUAUCUUCAUUUUUGAGUGCGAAACCACGAAUCGUGACCGUGCUACCAGAGUUGUAAUUUGAACAGUGGGCACUAAAGCUGGGGCCCACUCGCACCAGUGUCUAGUGGAGCGAAGCUUUGCCCUUUUCUUGCUAUCCAGCAACUAUUCCUCCGCCUGCCUCCAUUGCUGACAGUGGAGAUAGCUUCCCAGUGGUCACUGUUCCACUGUACUCUGUCAUAGUUUCUGAUCACCCCUAUUGUGCCUUGUCUCUUUCACCUCCUCCCUCACUUGUGCUGCCUCUGGCCACUAGAGUGGCGCCCUGCACUGUUGCCAUGCAUGGCUGCCACUUCGAGAGUGGAGAUGGGGGUUGGCCUUUGGGUGAUUUCUGUGUGCCAUCUUUUGGCUCAAUGUCGUUUUGGGACUGGUGCAUGUACUGGCAAUAGGUGAGAUGAGAUAUGAAAUGUCCUCUGCUGCUUUUUCUAUCUAAGGAGUAGCUUAGCUAUCACCAGCUGCCUUUCUCUUCUCAAAUAAGGUUGUUAAAAGGGGGGGUCUUAAAGCUACCCCAACUGCUGCCAGGGGCCCUCUUCAAUGCCCUCCCAGCUGCCGUUUCUUUCUUUAUUGGUUUGCUUCUCUGCUGCUUCUUUUGCCUGGUUGGAUGGAUGUUUGUUUGUUCGUAUGAAUUGGGGGAGCUACUAGUAUCAUUCAUGAGUAGAGGCAGGCAGGGCAGAGCAGGCUGCUGGCUGGCCAGGCACUGAUGUGCCAACAGCUAUUUCCAGUGAAACGGCUGCCAUUUUUCUUUGCUGGGAUUGUGAUAGUGGUAGGCUGGUAGUACUAGCUAGCAGUGUAUUGGGGGAAAUACUGGUGGUCCAUUUGCCUGUUAGCCAAUCUGAUGCUUGCCUUUCCAUCCGCUGGUGAUGGUCCAUUUGCUUUGGCAUCUUGCUUGCCUGUUAGUACUACAAAAGUUGCAUACAUAUGCUAUUGAGGUUAGGGUGUGUUUAGUUCACGCAAAAAUUGGAAGUUUGGUUGAAAUUGGCGAUGUGAUGGAAAAGUUUGAAGUUUAUAUGUGUAGGAAAGGUUUGAUGUGAUGGAAAAGUUGGAAGUUUGAAAAAAAAUGUUUGGAACUAAACACGGUGUUAGAGUUGAUCUGAGUACCUGACAACUUCAUGGCAAAUGCUCUUUACAAUGACAUCAACAGACUUUAGUUUUGCAGCAGUUCUUCUCUGUAUCUGUGUUUCAAUGCAUGGGUUUGGAUUGUGAAUAACAGUAUUAUAUUUGCCUGCCCUUCCUUUUUUGGUUUAAAAAGAAAGGCAUUGUCUAUGGUGGCAAGGCUUUUGAUGAAUAGACUAUGCAUCCUUUCUUUGGUACACUUUGUUAGAAUAGUAUGUGGAAUAUUAGAUGGACCAAAUCUAUCAAACAUAAUAAUAGUACAAUUAGGAUGUUUGGUAGAGAUUUGAGAUAUCCUUUUUUUUGGGAGAGUUUGGGUGUGGUUGAUUUAACUCCCAUAGUUAAAUUAAUUAACUAAUACAAAGAAAUAUACUGAAAGGAAAAUUUCCAAGGUAGGAGUUUUUGCUAAAUUUCCUUCAAAUUCUCUACAGGAUUGUUCAUUUCAUAUGAAUUCCAAGAGAUAGGAUAGGAUUCAAUCCUUUGUUUUAAAGAUCUUCAUAGGUAAUUUUCAUAUAGGAUUAAAACCCUCCAAAAUUCCUUUGUUUUUCCUCUAAAUCAAAGGAACCCUAAAACACAUGAAUAUGAGAUGUUUUGUUUGGAUGCUUCAAAUGAAAAAUACAUAGAAAAGACAUAUAGGAAUUUGGUAGAUUCAUUUGAGAGUAGAUAGAUGGAGAAGAGUUGCAUUGGACCUUUCAAAAAGUGAAAGAAUGAAGUUUGAGCAAUUGAGCUCAUCGUUUAAGUUUCCCAAGGAAGUGGGGCAUAGGAACUCAAUCCACAGGGGCAUAUGUAUAGGAAAUUUUCUUAGGGAUUGUAAUCCAUGCUUUCUAGGAAAAUCAUACUGUUCAAAGGAGCCAUUAAUUUAGUAUAAACAAAUGGAAACAAAGUCACUUGAGCUAUUUACUUGUGCAAAAAUUUAAAAUUGCAAAGAGUAUAUCUCUACUAUAUUAAAAGUAGGGUCAUCCUCUUUCCAUCCCCUUCUCCCACCGUGCGCAGCGCGCCCACGUGCAUCAUAUAAGUAAUGACCUGAUCUAAGUUUUACCCUACAAUCACACUUAUAGUUUAUCCUUCCUUAUACAUGUCUGAUUCGUUAUAACAUAGGGGUAUGUUACUAGUAUUCAAUAAAUUAGGGCUAUGUUUAGCUCCUAAAAUUGGGGAGAAGUUUGAGAAAAAUUGGUAGUUUGGAAAAAAAAGUUGGGAGUUUAUGUGAGUAGGAAAGUUUUGGAUGUGAUGUGAUAUGAUGGAAAUUUGAGAGUUUGGGGAAAGUUUAGUGUGAACUAAACAGGACUAGGAGUACAUAGUCGAUCAUCAUCCUCUCUCUUUCCCUUAAACCCCAAAGAACCCUAACGAUGGAUGUCCUCUCUCUUUCCCUUAAGGACAUAGGAACUGCUCAUCUUUAGGAGGAUGUUUUUGGAGUCAUUGCCUACUGCCAAGGACAGCAAGGCGCCAGCGCCACUUUUACUUCCCUCCCAGAUGACAGCUGAACCUCUCCUAUCAUCUUUAGUUGCUUAGAGCAUAAACAAUGCCACUUCUAGAGUGAUGGCCAGAUGGACUAAGGGCACACAUUUAGGAUGGGCCUUUCCUCACAAUGCAAAGUGACAGUAGGGGUGGCUUUAAAAUUUUCAAGACAACAUGUGACACUAUCUAUUUAAGCCCACAUAUUUUUUUUAAUUUACGUGGAAGUCUAAAAUUUUACACUACCAGCCAAAUACUCGUGUGUGCAACGGAUUAUCCAAAAUAGGA